GGCCGUGUGGCUCAAUGGCAGAGCGUCUGACUACGAUUCAGCGGAUCUCCAUACUUCCGCCGAAACACUCGACAUCAGAAGGUCGCAGGUUCGACCCCUGUCUCGGUCA